ensembl:lncRNA
AGCCAAUUCGGAGUCUCAGGACAACGUUUAGUCUGCGUCAGGUAGUGUCUGGAAAAGGAAGGAUGACCAGUCCUGCUAAAGUGCAAAAAGAGGGUGAAGAGAUUCGAAAGUAUCACCCUGAAAGCUGUCAAGGAAUAGUUCUGCGUUUUUCACUGCUGUCCUUCAGAGCACCAGGCAGGAGUACAACAGAGCAGUCGUUUUUGCCAUGGAAAAGCAAGCCCUCUUCAUUCAAGCUGAAAAGAACGGCAACCUGGUGUGGCUGCUGAACAUCAGGCGCAGCAUAAGCUUCUCUGAUCCAGACGGCUUUGAUGUCUUGUGCUCUCGUGGGACCAGCGUAGAGGUGACCAGGCUGUCUUUUCUGCGGAGCGCGCCACCAAGCUACAAAAGGAUGACUGUAGCAGAGGUGAAGGCCUUAGGUCCGAGGCAGAAGGUGCGAGUCACAGAGCCGUAUACCUUGCUAAUGUUGUGUUUGUGUCCGGAAUGGGGGAGAUAAAGCUGAUGUUGUGGGACAGCUUCAUCAACGCUGCUGAGGCCGGCGUCUCCUACGCCUUCAAGAACCUUUCUACCAGAGAGCGAGACGGGUGCCUUUGCUCUGUACUGGUCCAUCCAGCAGCAUCGAGCAGAUCGCAGACUUGGAGGUGGCGGAGCGAGCAACCAACCUGGAAGAAGAAAGAUCAACAGCGCUUUUCAGCGCCACAAUAAAAGGCAUAGAAGUCACUAUUCAACGCCGCUGUUCCAGCUGCCACUACAAGCAGAAGGAGUUUGUGGAGAAGUUAAAGACGCACAGGUGCGAGGGCUGCAAAAUGAAGCAACAGUCGUUGUCUUACUCCACCAGCUUUGGAGGUAAAGCCACAGUGUCCACUGAGAACAGCGAGGAAACUGUGCAGCUAUCCAGCUCGGCGCUCUCCACCUAUCUGCGAUCGAGGAUCAUUUUUUGCAGUCUUCGGCAGUUGACCUAAAACUUAACGUGGAUGGUUUCCUUCUGGCCAUCCAGCCAGCGGAGGCCAGGUGGGCUGUUAGCGCAGAAGAGCAGUGGGACUCCGAUGCAGAUGAAGGCGAGGCACAGCCAGCAGAGCAAGGUUACAGAGAAACCGUAGAGGUAGGUGAGGCACAGCGAGCAGAGCAAGGUGAUGGAGAAACCGUAGAGGCAGGCGAGGCAGCGUCUGCUGCUUCGGUUGCUUGAAGAUGUGAUCCGAGUUCAGUUUUGUUAAGAAGAUACGGUUUGUCAAAUGCCUUUUUGUUCAGGAAACAGGUUAUUU